AGAAAUCCUCCUCUUCCUCCAAAACAUGAGUGUGAUGUGCGUCCUCAUCUGGACUCUCCUCUGCUGCUGCUUCACAGAGUCCAGAGGACAGGUCACAGUGACUCAGCCUGGAGCAGUGAGCUCUGCUGUGGGAGGAAAUGUCUCCAUCUCAUGUUCUGCUAGCCAAAGUGUAUAUGGUGGAGAUGAGAUGCACUGGUACCAACAGAAAAAUGGAGAAUCUCCUAAACUACUCAUUUACGAAGCUAACAGUAGAGUAGCAGGAACUCCAAGUCGUUUUUCAGGCAGUGGAUCAAACUCUGAUUUCACUCUGACCAUCAGUGGAAUUCAGGCUGAAGAUGCAGCAGUUUAUUACUGUCAGAGUUAUCAUAGCGGCUAUGUGUGGACUUUUGGUGGAGGAACCAGACUGGAAGUUGACUUGGGUCAUGUGCCCCCCUCCCUGACAGUGCUGGCCCCCUCCAUGGAGGAGCUGCAGCAGGGGGAGGCCACACUCAUGUGUGUGGCCAACAAGGGCUUCCCCUCAGACUGGACUCUGUCCUGGAAGGUGGUCGGCAGCAGCAGCAGGGAGGAGAGCAGGAGCCCCGGGGUGCUGCAGAAGGACGGCCUCUACAGCUGGAGCAGCACCCUGAGGCUCUCUGCAGACCAGUGGGAGAAGGUGACCUGUGAGGCCAAGAGAGGAUCCCAGACUCCAGUCUCAGAGACUCUCAGGAGAGACCAGUGCUCCCAGUCCUGAACUCAGACAUGCUGAUGGAAAUCUGCUUUCUGUGCACUUCUUCUUUAUUCUCUUUCUCAAAGUCUUGACUUGUUACAGUUUAACCUGGAAAUAUUAUCUACAAAUUAAAAAAAAAAUGUUGACUGA